AGUUAGGAACGUGGUGUCCCCACUUCGUUGUUGGGGUGUCCGAAGCUUUUUUUUUUUUUAAUGUGAUCCCGCCCCUCCCCCGCGCUCUGUGACGCACCAGAGACGUCGACGUAAACUGGGUUUCCUGGACGCACGCCAGUGAUUGACUUGGAAUGAGGAGAGGGGCGGGGCCUUAGCAGUUGCCCUGAGCCAGGUCUGGUAGGAAGGGCGAGGGGGGCCAGGGUGAGGGGCGGGCAAGAUAUUUCCAGUCUGCAGCACCCACAAGUUGGACUGGGGAACUACCGCAGACCUUGAAGGCAGAUUUACUGGAUUGGACCCCCAACUCCAACACAGUCCUCCUAUGGCCUUAGGCAAGCCAAGUAGCAUGAAUCUCAUCAGCACAGAGAGAAAGCUUCACUGAAAACUCGUUACAGGCCAGGUGUUGUGCUGAUUUACUUCAAGAAAAAUACCACAUCUGAACAGCAGAUACAAUUAAAGUCACCAACUAUUUAUAGCCAGUCUCCAAGAUCCAUCUCCCUUCUCCAAAGACCAAACAGUGUCACAGAUACGUAGCCGGUCUGUUCUCCGGGUCCCUGCUACGCUGAAGCCAAUCCUCAGGAGCCAUCAGCUUGGUGCACUUCAGCUCAGAGAGCAGUUGUUGAGAUGAACCAGCCACAGAAGCCAGGGUUUGCCCUGUGUUUAUUUACAGAAGGACACACCCGCCAAGAGCUGCUCUGAGGGGACUAUGGCUGCAAGAGAGGGCCCUGCCCAUUUACCAGCAACAACUAUGAGCCACUUUGAGACUUAGAGUAUACAUAUCAUCAGGGAAAGAUGACAUUGAUGGAAAACCUUUGCUACAGCAGUGGAAACGCACACACUCCCCUUUCGUCCUUCUGGUUAAAGAUAGAAAGCUGGGUAUUCAAUGUACUCAGGUAUUCAGUAUAUGAAAUAUCUGAACUCCUUUCCUUCCCUGUGUUCUGUCUCUUUUGCAUUCUGAGUUUUCCAGAGCAAAUAACUCAGAAGAGGAUUGGAUCAGGGAAAAAGGAGAGCCCAACUUGGUUACCUUGGUUGGCUUGUAUACCUAGAAUGCCUGCACUGUUUGCCAUCUAUCUACCCUCCAAGCCUCAUCUUCAACAAAAGCCUUCUACCUCCCACCCCCAAGCUGCUGGACCACUCACUGUUUCCCACCUCUCAUUUGCACUCCUCACAGACUAUCUUAGAUUGCCAUACACAUCUGCAGCCACAUCCUUAUGCCCCUGACAAGAGGAGCCACAGCUUAUACUUCUUGAGAUUCCUGACAAUGCCAGGCAUUGUCCCAUGUAAGUUCUUAAAGGAAAUGUGUUUGAUUGCUUUUGUUACUUGUUAAUGACUCCCUGUAUACUUUGGCAGGGAAAUGAAAUUGGCACAAAUAGCUCAAGUGGGGUUUUGCACCAACUAUGGGUUUCAUUUAUCCACAGGAUUGCAAUAGAAGAAAUUUAGAUUCAAUACAAAGAAGAAAUUCUCAAUCACAGGGGUCUAGAGAGGGGAUGGAUGGCAUUAUCAAAAGAGGUUAGAGAGAAGGGGUAGAGAGGGGAAUGUGGGAAAACAAAGAAAAAUUGCAGGGGUGGGGAAAGUGAGUGGGGGAGGGCACAACCUUAGAGAGAUAGUACACAUUCUAGGGCCUGAGGAUAUUUUAGAAGAGUCUCUGAUUUAUAGAAAGCACUGACUCAGGUGCAGUACAAACUUGGUUUUUCAGCAGGAAAAAUGUAUUAGAUAAAGUUGACAUGUCCAGCAGCUCUGGGAGUCUGGACCUUUAUUCAAACCCACUCACUUGUAUUGAGCAGCUACUUUUGCAAAGUUCUGGGCUAGAAACUAGGGGACACACAGAGGGCUAAGACAGGAUCCCUGUCAUCCAAGUGCUUAUGAUGUAGUAUUCAUUUAUUCUUUGUUUCUUUCAGGCAUUUAUUAAAUGUCUAUUAUGUAGUAGUGAAAGGGCUACAAAGAUUAAAAUACAGCUCUCUCUCUCUCUCUUUGAUAUGGUUUGGAUGUGUGUCCCUACCCAAAUCUCAUGUUGAAAUGCAAUCCCCAAUGUUGGAGGUGGGGCCUGGUGGGAGGUGAUUGGAUCACAGGGGUGGUUUCUCAUGGUUUAACACCACCCCCAUUGGUGCUGCCAUCGCAAUAGUGAGUUCUCAUGAGAUCUGGUUCUUUAAAAGUGUGUGGCACCUCCCCCCAACCCCUCUCAGUCCAGCUCCUGCCAUGUAAGAAGCCUGAUUCUGCUUUGCUUUCCACCAGGAGUAAAAGCUCCCUGAGGCCUCCCCAGGAAUAGAUGCUGCCACACUUCCUGUACAGCCUGCAGAACCAUAAGCCAAUUAAACCUCUUCUCUUUAUAAAUUACCCAGUCUCAGGUAUUUCUUUAUAGCACUGUGAGAACAGACUAAUUCUUUCUCUGUCUCUCUCUCUCUCACACACACAGUCAUUCAAAAAAGUCUAAAAGAACAACAAAAAGCCACCCUUAAUCCUGUCACCAAAGGCCACUGUUAGCAUGCUAGCAUGUUUCCAAGCAGUUUUUUCAAGUAAGUACAUUUCUAAAUAGUUGAGAUAUAGCAUAUAUACCCUAUUGUAUACUGCUUUUUAAAAAUAAAAGAAUUUGGCCAAAUGCAGUGGCCAAGGCAGGCAGAUCACUUGAACCCAGGAGUUCAAGACCAGCUUGGGCAACACAGCAAAACCCCAUCUCUACAGACAACAACAACAACAACAAAACCUCAAAAAUUAGCUUGGUGUGGUGGCGUGCGCCUGUAAUCCCAGGUACUCUGAGGCGGGAAGAUCUCUUGAGCCUGGGAGGUGGAGGCUGCAGUGAGCUGAGAUUGUGCUACUGCAUUCUAGCUUGGGUGGCAGAGUGAGACCCUGUCUCAAAAAUAAAAUAAAAGAAUUUUCCUUUGUGAAUCAACCUCAAUACUUACUAAUAGCUGUAUAAUGUUCUACCAUGUGGGUGUACUGUAGUUUAUUUACCCAUUCUCCCAGCAUUGGAUUUGGAUUAGCUCUCAGUUAUAAC